rnacentral:tRNA from 1 species
GGGAAUGUGGCUUAGUGGUAAAGUGCUUGCCUAGUAUGCAUGAAGCCCUGGGUUCGAUUCCUCAGUACCA